GUGUAGUACUGAUGGCUGUCCAGAAGCAGGAUACUGGACUAGAUGGUGUCACACCAUACGUAUGAGCCAGGGCUGCAACUUACAGAAGUGAGGGGUCUGAGUCGUGCCUGCAAGGAUUCCCAUGCAUUACAAGGCACUUGCUGUGUGCUGCAUCGUCAGAAGAGGAGUCUCAGGGAUACACACACUUGGACUAUACUGAAUCAGGCUGCAUCUGACAAACAGUCUAGUCUGCAUUUUGGUUUGCUAGAGAGCAACCAGGAUUUUUCAGAUUAUAUCUGCUUUUGA
rnacentral:lncRNA from 14 species